AUACUACAGGGUCAUUGCUAGGAUACAACAGUACCAGGAUAUUAUCACAGAGCUCCCGAGGUGCUCCAGGACAGGGGACAGUUUGCAGUGGGAUAUUCUCAGGACAGGGGUCAGUUUGCAGUGGGAUAUUCCAGGACAGGGGUCAGUGGGAUGCUCUCAGGACAGGGGUCAGUUUGCAGUGGGAUAUUCUCAGGACAGGGGUCAGUUUGCAGUAGGACACUCCAGGACAGGGGUCAGUUUGCAGUAAGAUGCUCCAGGCCAGGGGUCAGUUUGCAGUGGGAUGCUCUCAGGACAGGUCAGUUUGCAGUAGGAUAUUCCAGGACAGGGAUCAGUAGGAUAUUGUCAGGCCAGGGGUCGGUGUGGAGUAGGAUGCUCCAGGACAGGGGUCAGUUUGGAGUAGGAUAUUCCAGGACAGGGGUCAGUAGGAUAUUCUCAGGAUGGGUCAGUUUGCAGUAAGAUGCUCCAGGCCAGGGGUCAGUUUGCAGUGGGAUAUUCUCAGGACAGGGGUCAGUUUGCAGUAGGACACUCUCAGGACAGGAGUCAGUUUGCAGUAAGAUGCUCCAGGCCAGGGGUCAGUUUGCAGUGGGAUGCUCUCAGGACAGGUCAGUUUGGAGUAGGAUAUUCCAGGACAGGGGUCAGUUUGCAGUAGGACACUCUCAGGAUGGGUCAGUUUGCAGUAAGAUGCUCCAGGACAGUUUGCAGUAGGAUAUUCUCAGGAUGGGUCAGUUUGGGGUAGGACACUCUCAGGACAGGGGUCAGUUUGCAGUGGGAUGCUCCAGGACAGGGUCAGUUUGCAGUAGGAUGCUCCAGGACAGUUUGCAGUAGGAUAUUCUCAGGCUAGGGGUCAGUUUCCAGUAGGAUAUUCCAGGACAGGGGUCAGUAGGAUAUUCUCAGGCCAGGGGUCAGUUUGGAGUGGGAUGCUCCAGGACAGGGGUCAGUUUGGAGUAGGGUAUUCCAGGACAGUUUGCAGUAGGAUAUUCUCAGGAUGGGUCAGUUUGCAGUAGGAUAUUCUCAGGACAGGGGUCAGUUUGGAGUAGGAUGCUCUCAGGACAGAGGUCAGUUUGCAGUAGGAUACUCUCAGGACAGGGGUCAGUUUGGAGUAGGAUACUCUCAGGAGUAAAGUGCACUUAUCUGUAGGAUGCUUCCAAGAUGCUACACAAGGGCACUAGCAAAGGUCAUGGUAAGAUAAUUCUGGGAUGCCAUCAGGGCAACACUCACAUUUUUGGGGUACUGGCAGCACAUUGCUGAUGCUUUCAGGCCACUUGCUUAGCAGUGAUAUAAUGUGAGAUUAAAACCUUUUCUGCCUCAGAGAUGGGGUAAUAACUGAGAGGUGGCUAAAGCUGAUAGGCCAAGAAAAGCUUAUAGUGUAUUGUGAUUAGGAAAUUAUUGUAAUUAGUUGGUUUCUGAUUGUGAUGGUGUGAAUUAUAACAUCUGUAUUGUCUCGCCCUUCACAUGAGACUGAAAAUAGAAUAAAAGUUUUUAAAACACCUCUCAGUUACCCAUCUCUGGGUCAGAAAAGGGCAUAAUCUGACAAUAUGGUGUGAGGAUACAGCUAGGAUACUCCCACUCCAGGGAAAUGGACAGUGGUGUGACAUUUCUUACCUACUGUCAGGGCAGCACUGAGCUGCUUGGACCACUAUGAACACUUUGUUGCAACUAUGAAAUUACCACUAGAGUAGUGCCACAAUAUCGGAAUAUUUCUUCUGAAGGUAGCACAUCCUGUUGGGAUACUACCAGGAUACUACAGAGAUACUGUUGGUUGUAUAACAGCCCUGGCAGCAGCUAAGAGAAUGGGGAGCUGGGUGUUGUAACCUAAGGGAACAGGCAGCUGGGUG